rnacentral:misc_RNA from 1 species
CCGAGUUUACAACUCCCAAACCCCUGUGAACAUACCACUUGUUGCCUCGGCGGAUCAGCCCGCUCCCGGUAAAACGGGACGGCCCGCCAGAGGACCCCUAAACUCUGUUUCUAUAUGUAACUUCUGAGUAAAACCAUAAAUAAAUCAAAACCUUCAACAACGGAUCUCUUGGUUCUGGCAUCGAUGAAGAACGCAGCAAAAUGCGAUAAGUAAUGUGAAUUGCAGAAUUCAGUGAAUCAUCGAAUCUUUGAACAGGCAUGACCCGCCAGACUGCUGGCGGGUGCAUGUGCGUUCAGAUUCGAUGAUUCACUAUUCUGCAAUUCACAUUACUUAGCGCAUUGUCGCUGCGUGCUGCAUCGAUGCCAGAGCCAGAGAUCCGUUGUUGAAAGUUUUUAAAGGUUUUUAAAAUCACUCAGAAAUCCGCUGAGAGACAGAACUAGAUAUGUGCGUACCGCCGGCGGGAUUCCGGCCCUCCUUCGGGGGGCGCCCGCCGGCGGUACGCACAUAUCUAGUUCUGUCUCUCAGCGGAUUUCUGAGUGAUUUUAAAAAACCUUUAA